CCCCCUCUCCCUCCGUUCCGAAUUACUUGUCGCAGGUAUGGAUGUAUCUAGAUGUAUUUUAGUUCUAGAUACAUCCAUUUCUUCGACUAGUAAUAUGGAAUGGAGGGAGUAUUUG
rnacentral:pre_miRNA from 1 species